rnacentral:rRNA from 1 species
UACACGACCGUACCGCAAACCGACACUGGUGCGCGAGAUGAGUAUUCUAAGGCGCUUGAGAGAACUCAGGAGAAGGAACUCGGCAAAUUGACACCGUAACUUCGGAAGAAGGUGUGCCUUUAGUAGGUGAACCAUUUACUUGGGGAGCCCAAUGAGGCUGCAAAAAAUCGGUGGCUGCAACUGUUUAUUAAAAACACAGCACUCUGCUAAGACGAAAGUCGACGUAUAGGGUGUGACGCCUGCCCGGUGCUGGAAGAUUAAAUGAUGGGGUGCAAGCUCUUGAUUGAAGUCCCAGUAAACGGCGGCCGUAACAAUAACGGUCCUAAGGUAGCGAAAUUCCUUGUCGGGUAAGUUCCGACCUGCACGAAUGGCGUAAUGAUGGCCACACUGUCUCCUCCUGAGACUCAGCGAAGUUGAAAUGUUUGUGAUGAUGCAAUCUCCCCGCGGAAAGACGGAAAGACCCCAUGAACCUUUACUGUAGCUUUGUAUUGGACUUUGAACAGAUCUGUGUAGGAUAGGUGGGAGGCUUUGAAGUGUGGUCGCUAGAUCGCAUGGAGCCAACGUUGAAAUACCACCCUGGUGUGUUUGAGGUUCUAACCUAGGUCCAUUAUCUGGAUCGGGGACAGUGCAUGGUAGGCAGUUUGACUGGGGCGGUCUCCUCCCAAAGUGUAACGGAGGAGUUCGAAGGUACGCUAGGUACGGUCGGACAUCGUGCUAAUAGUGCAAUGGCAUAAGCGUGCUUAACCGCGAGACUGACAAGUCGAGCAGAUGCGAAAGCAGGACAUAGUGACCCGGUGGUUCUGUAUGGAAGGGCCAUCGCUCAACGGAUAAAAGGUACUCUGGGGAUAACAGGCUGAUACCGCCCAAGAGUUCAUAUCGACGGCGGUGUUUGGCACCUCGAUGUCGGCUCAUCUCAUCCUGGGGCUGUAGCCGGUCCCAAGGGUAUGGCUGUUCGCCAUUUAAAGAGGUACGUGAGCUGGGUUUAAAACGUCGUGAGACAGUUUGGUCCCUAUCUUCCGUGGGCGCUGCAGAUUUGAGGAAGCCUGCUCCUAGUACGAGAGGACCGGAGUGGACGAACCUCUGGUGUAUCGGUUGUCACGCCAGUGGCAUUGCCGAGUAGCUAAGUUCGGAAGAGAUAACCGCUGAAAGCAUCUAAGCGGGAAACUCGUUUCAAGAUUAGAUCUGCCGGGGCCUUGAGCCCCCUAAAGAGUCGUUCAAGACCAGGACGUUGAUAGGUCAGGUGUGGAAGCG